AACGAACGCUGGCGGCAGGCUUAACACAUGCAAGUCGAGCGCCCCGCAAGGGGGGCGGCAGACGGGUGAAUAACGCGUGGGAAUCUACCCAUCUCUACGGAAUAACGCAUGGAAACGUGUGCUAAUACCGUAUACGUCCUUCGGGAGAAAGAUUUAUCGGAGAUGGAUGAGCCCGCGUUGGAUUAGCUAGUUGGUGGGGUAAAGGCCUACCAAGGCGACGAUCCAUAGUUGGUCUGAGAGGAUGAUCAGCCACACUGGGACUGAGACACGGCCCAGACUCCUGCGGGAGGCAGCAGUGGGGAAUAUUGGACAAUGGGCGCAAGCCUGAUCCAGCCAUGCCGCGUGAGUGAUGAAGGCCCUAGGGUUGUAAAGCUCUUUCACCGGUGAAGAUAAUGACGGUAACCGGAGAAGAAGCCCCGGCUAACUUCGUGCCAGCAGCCGCCGUAAUAC
rnacentral:rRNA from 1 species